rnacentral:rRNA from 1 species
ACUCAAAGGAAUAGACGGGGGCCCGCACAAGCGGCGGAGCAUGCCACUUAAUUCGAUGCGACGCGUAGAACCUUACCAGGGCUUGACAUGCACGGUGCCGCACUGGAGACAGUGCUUCCUUUUGGGUCGUGCGCAGGUGGUGCAUGGUUGUCGUCAGCUCGUGUCGUGAGAUGUUGGGUUAAGUCCCGCAACGAGCGCAACCCUUAUCUCGUAUUGCCAGCAGCGGCUUCGGUCGGCUGGGGACUUGCGGGAGACUGCCGGGGUCAACUCGGAGGAAGGUGGGGAUGACGUCAAAUCAUCAUGCCCCUUAUGUCCUGGGCUGUAGGCAUGCUACAAUGGCCGGUACAGAGGGCUGCGAUACCGCGAGGUGGAGCGAAUCCCAUAAAGCCGGUCUCAGUUCGGAUCGGAGUCUGCAACUCGACUCCGUGAAGCUGGAGUCGCUAGUAAUCGCGGAUCAGCAUUGCCGCGGUGAAUACGUUCCCGGGCCUUGCACACACCGCCCGU